UUUCUACAGCGGUCUGCGAACAGUAUGGGAAGCAUGCUUCUCAGCGUUGGGCAAGCGAACAGCGGCAUGGUCGUGUUUAAUUUGGCUAUGAAGUUUUAUUCAUGCAUAUGUUGUAGUUAUUAUUAUUGCAGCUGACUGCAAGUGCAUAUAUGAUGGGAAGGUGUGAAGUUAGAGCACUGAAAGCAAUGACUGCGCGUUUGAGCAGCGGAAUUGACUAGGCCGCAUGAGCAAAGAAAACGAAGGAUGGUGAUUACUCGGGUGGAUGUUUUCUGCACCUCACCACGUGGACAGGGUGGUGUCAUACAGUCACAUGGAGGACGGCCAGCAGCGAGGGGUCUUCGGUGUGAAUGGAUGUUCAGGAUAAUGGCACAUAAUCGACAUCUGUGGGUGGACAGCAGAAGAAUUUCAUUGCACAGAGAAAUGCCUUUUCUCUUGUGACACAUGACCAUGAACACUUUGAAUCUUGAAUCUUUAAAAAGAAUAAAGCAUUUUUCUACAAACCAACAGUGUUGUUUUUCUUAUUUUUAACUUCUUUCUGGGCACUCCUCUGAACCUGGCUGGCCUCUUCCGUGGCCACUCAAAGGUCGAGAGCAGUGCGAGAUCAAGUCAUGUCUUGUCAUAACUGGGGUUUCUUGGCUUUUAUUUCACCAAGUCUCUCUUUUAAAGCUAGACACAGACUCGAGAUGAAGUUCAUGAAUAGUGUUCUCAAAGUGCAAAAGCUGCACAUCUGACGGAGUUUAACACCCGUCUGUGGUGUCAGCACAUCUGUUAACAUUAACACUUAAUUUGACAGCACAAGUCGGAUGUUCAAAAAAAAAAAAAAAUACAGCCUGUUAAAUACUGGAUAUUUUUGUCUAGCAAAUCUACAUCCACACACACUAUUUUUAGAUUGUGAAGUGUUGUCUUUCAUACUGCACGUCCUUGAUUCUCUUGAUUCUCCCCCCAGAUGAGAGCAGACGAGGCUAGGAAAAACUGGUUAACAAAAAUAAGAUGCUACUUGUGACAUGGGACAGCGGCAUCGUGUCAUAAGUGGCUGUUAUAGCCACUAUAUUUAUUUAUAAUUGGAAAUGCUAAAGUGCAGAAAGUUCAUUUGUUGAAUAUCUUCAAGUCCAACUCUCAGCAGGCUUCAUAUCAUCCGGUGAUGUGCCACCACUGCUUCAUGUGUAUAAACACUUCCACAAACGACACCCAUGCAACGUCUCUCCCCACAGAUUUGUUUCAGGAGUUGAAACAACUCUCAGCAGGUCAAACUGCUAUCAGUUUCCAGGUCACGAGUGGGAACACAGAGACCAGUCCAGCCUUGCAUUGUCUAAUUUUGUGGGUUGUAGCCUGUGGAUUGUGCUUAGCUAACAUGAGUGGCACCCUGUGUGGUCUUCUGCUGCAGUAGCCCAUCUGCUUCAAGAUGAUUGUGCGGGAAAAUCCCAGCAGAUACCAGCCCAUCUGGCAUCAACAACCACGCCAAGUCACUUCAAACACCUUUCUUCUCCAUUCUGGCGUAUCUCAUCCUUGAUACGCCUCAACUCACCGAGUUGGCGCCUUGUGAUUGAACAGGCGUACCUUAUGAAGCGAAACAGCAUAUAAAUGCAUGUCUUCUGACGAGAAUCUGGCUCCGUCUUCUUAUUCCUCAUCUUAUCUGUCAGAACAGCAAAUCCAUACAUAUUCUUUCCGAGCAAAAAGAUUUUAUUGAUCCACAAUGAUCAGAAACGUAACAUUCUGCAACAUCACUGAACACAACAGCAAUGUUUGAUAUUGUCAUCACUUGUGCAAAUAAACAACACCGAGACGUGAAAAACCAAAAUGGGAAUGUCUUAACAGACACAGUAAUGGCACAAAGACGUUUUUUUUUUCCCCUUUAUCUAUUCUCAACUGAUGCAAGAAACAUGGCGGCUCACUAUGGAGGAAUGUUUAAUUUACUUUAAAGGCACUUUCUGCCUCAUACACUUGCCAACACACACGUCUGAACUUAAAACAUAUAAAGUAAAAGUCACCUGUAAAGCAGGGUGUCUUGGCAGAUUACAAAGAUCCUGUAGUUCUAGUGUAUGUCAUGUUUUUCUUUAAUGUGUACAACAGUAGACAGCAUUUAAAAAAAAGGAAAUCAAUAAAUAAUUCAACAGAAACGGAGCAUUCAUUAGCUGGAUGUCUGCUGAGAGCAUUAAAUAAUAUGGCUAAUAUCCAGUAUGUUAUUGAUUUAAAAUAAAACAGCAAGAGUGGACGUCCCCGCUCUUUAAACUACACAUUUCUGAGUUUGUGUUUCCAUUUAAACUAAAAGUGUUUCAGUCUCCUGCUCAUUAAAAUCACUCCCUGCA